UCCAGAUUUAAGGAACAGCUCUGCCGCCAGCUCACUGACAAACAUUUCCCGGCCUCUUUCAUUAACUGGCUGAUUGAAAUUGCAGAGACCCAGUGGUCACCCUAUCUGUAGGAUCAGCGUGGCACCCCUGCCAGCACUAUG